GUGGCCAGCACAUGCACUAAAACUGGAACGAUACAGAGAAGAUUAACAUGGCCCCUGCACGCAAAUGAUACACAAAUUCAUGAAGCGUUCCAUAUGUUU
rnacentral:snRNA from 1 species